AUUGAACGCUGGCGGCAGGCCUAACACAUGCAAGUCGAACGAGUGGCGGACGGGUGAGUAAUGUCUGGGAACCUGCCCGAUGGAGGGGGAUAACUACUGGAAACGGUAACUAAUACCGCAUACCAUCGGAUGUGCCCAGAUGGGGUUAGCUAGUGGGUGGGGUAACGGCUCACCUAGGCGACGAUCCCUAGCUGGUCUGAGAGGAUGACCAGCCACACUGGAACUGAGACACGGUCCAGACUCCUACGGGAGGCAGCAGUGGGGAAUAUUGCACAAUGGGCGCAAGCCUGAUGCAGCCAUGCCGCGUGUAUGAAGAAGGCCUUCGGGUUGUAAAGCACUUUCAGCUAGGAGGCGUUACUCGCAGAAGAAGCACCGGCUAACUCCGUGCCAGCCGCCGCGGUAAUUC
rnacentral:rRNA from 1 species